GUCAGAGGAAGACUGGCACUGCUUAGUGUUAACAUUUUCCCUUCUCCAUUGCUUUAUUUGUCUUAGGCAGUUUGUGCUACAGCACUGUGCUUUACUGCAUACAAGUCCUACAGAGAUAAAUCCAGUACUUCCUACCUGCCCUUCCCAAGGCCCUGCCUCACACUCCAGAUCUCAGGAUAGCUCUUGGGUCUAAUUUGGCCCAUGCUGCUCACCCCAGUAUCCUGCUUUCAAAACUGCAAUGAACAAGUAAGUUGGAAAAUAUUUUAACCUCUUGCCACUCUCCCAAGCCUCUGGUGAGACUGCAGGGUUGGAAUUGUAGAACUGAGGAAGGAAAACAUUUUUCAUUGUUGCUAUGGAGACUUGAGUUUAUGUAGCAAUGACUUAUUCAGUUUUCUCUCUCCUUGAUCUUAGGCCAAAAAAAAAAAAAAAAGAAAAGAAAAGGAACAUGAAAAUAUCACAGACAAAACCUCUGGGACAUGAGAUUUCAAUUGGCAUGACCUCUCUGCAGUAUCGCACAGAAAAACAAAGACGAAAGGAGUGAGAAAAAUGUCCUUGUGUGUCAAGAGAGUCUCUUUCUGCAGAAAAGGAACUAGGAGGAAGUUAGAAAAGGAACCAGGACCACAGUGAACAUAAACCACUGCUUGCAGUUUCUUUGGAGUAUCCAGUGUUCCCUAUCCAGAGCCACUGCUCCAGCCCUGCAGUUCAUGCAGCCUAGUCAUGGUCAGAUGCUAAGAGAACAACAUAACACUUUUAGCUAUAAGACCUACCCACAUUUUAUCUGUAAUAUGCAUCUUUCAUCAACAGGGACAUGGGAUCUGGGGCUUUACCUCCUCCUAAAUGGCUGUGGAUGUGGUCUGCCCUUGCUCAUCCAUCACCUGAAGGAAAAUCUGCUGUCGGAACUGUAUGGCAGCGCAGUGAGGAAAAUCAUGUGCCUGUUCCUUAUGAGCACACGCUGAGAAAAUGGAAAGCCUGGCUUGGAAAAGAGACUUUGCAGGAUGGACUCCAAGGGAUGCAAGACAGAAAAGCUUGAAAUUAAAGUCUUCCUUUUCCAUGAA